rnacentral:lncRNA from 1 species
AGGGAAAAGGAUAAUAGAGGGAAAUAUCUUGUUCUUUAAAAAUAUAAUGAAAUGUGGUGUAGAUGUGUAAAUAAUGUAUGAAAAUUUAAUUGAUUUAUGAAGGUUUUAUUUACAUGAUUUAAUUUAAAAAUGAAAUUUAAUAAUAAUAAGGGAAAAUAUAUAACACAUCCUCCAAAUGAACGAACAGAGCAAUAGCAACAAAUUACGAUGUCACGGGUUGUUGUGUGUGGUUGAGGGAGAGUAUGGAGACGAGAGAGAAACAAAUCAGAUAAGCAAGGAAGGUGGAUUUGGGUUAGGCAAGGGUUUCUGGUUUUUCUUUUCAAUUGGGGCAACAGUAGGGAUGACAGAGAAAAUGUUAGAGUGAGAGAGAUGAAAGAGAAAGGGUUGAGAGGAAUGAGGGAGGUGAGUAAGGGUUUGGGGGUUUCUUUUUUUUUUAGUUUUGAGAAUGAAAAUUAUUUAAAUAUCCUUGACCUUCAAACUUAGAAUCCAUGAUAAAUGAGGGUAUUUUUGUCUACUAUAAUCCGGUACACAUUGUUAAAACGUACCAACUAAAAAACAGGCGUACGCAUGUUAACCAUAUAUAUA